rnacentral:rRNA from 1 species
UACGAAGGGGGCUAGCGUUGUUCGGAAUCACUGGGCGUAAAGCGCACGCAGGCGGAUUGAUAAGUCAGGGGUGAAAUCCCGGGGCUCAACCUCGGAAUUGCCUUUGAUACUGUCUGUCUUGAGUUCGGGAGAGGUUGGCGGAAUUCCUAGUGUAGAGGUGAAAUUCGUAGAUAUUAGGAAGAACACCAGUGGCGAAGGCGGCCAACUGGCCCGAUACUGACGCUCAUGUGCGAAAGCGUGGGGAGCAACAGG